GGGCCCGCACAAGCGGUGGAGCAUGUGGUUUAAUUCGAAGAUACGCGCAGAACCUUACCAACACUUGACAUGUUCGUCGCGACUUUAAGAGAUUAAAGUUUUCGGUUCGGCCGGACGAAACACAGGUGCUGCAUGGCUGUCGUCAGCUCGUGUCGUGAGAUGUUGGGUUAAGUCCCGCAACGAGCGCAACCCUCACUUUUAGUUGCCAUCAUUUAGUUGGGCACUCUGAAAGAACUGCCAGUGAUAAGCUGGAGGAAGGUGGGGAUGACGUCAAGUCCUCAUGGCCCUUACGUGUUGGGCUACACACGUGCUACAAUGGUAUUUACAACAGGAAGCAAAACGGCAACGUUAAG
rnacentral:rRNA from 1 species